AGUGAUUCUCGUGCCUCAGCCUCCCGAGUAGCUGGGACUACAGUGACCUGAUGUAUGCACUGAAGGCAGUCCUCUGCGUGGGAAGAAGCAGUGGAAGCUUUUACCACACAAGUCCAUGUUAUAAGGAAGGCAAAGGAGCCUCUCUCCCUGGUCACCGUCAGAACCACCGCCCCGCGGGGAGCACUGCGAGGCUGCUGUGAUGUUCACUCCAGGCCCCAGGACCCUUCAGUCAGUUUCCAGUGAGUGUCACCAGACCUGGGACUCCCCCUUCGGGACAGUGGGCUCCCCUCUGGUCCAGGGCAGUUCCAGAAAUGCCAUCCAAGAACCAGGAUCUGGAAUCAGGGACCCCAAGAUCCCACUUCUUCUCCACUGUGGCUGAGCUGGUAGCUGAGCUGCAAGGCAAAGUGUGCCUUACUUUUCCCUCUGCUUUUCUCAAGCAGGAGUCUCUCACUGUAGCCACCACAGCUGGGAAUGUGCUGGGUCUCCCCUGAACACAGCAUGUCUCAGAGUCUCACCCAAGGCCAAUAGCAAGUAGUACCUGGCAUCACUGCUGGUUAUUCAGGGCCCAGCAGCUCUCGAGUCAGCAGGUGAUAGAUCCUGCCAGGACUAGGUCCUUCUCUUCAAAGUAGCUGGGUCGGCCGGGCAUGGUGGCUCACGCCUGUAA